rnacentral:rRNA from 1 species
AGCGAACGCUGGCGGCAGGCUUAACACAUGCAAGUCGAACGCACCGCAAGGUGAGUGGCAGACGGGUGAGUAGCACGUGGGGAUCUGCCCAAUGGUACGGAAUAGCUCCGGGAAACUGGAAUUAAUACCGUAUGAGCCCGCAAGGGGAAAGAUUUAUCGCCAUUGGAUGAACCCGCGUCGGAUUAGCUAGUUGGUGUGGUAAAGGCGCACCAAGGCGACGAUCCGUAGCUGGUCUGAGAGGAUGAUCAGCCACACUGGGACUGAGACACGGCCCAGACUCCUACGGGAGGCAGCAGUGGGGAAUAUUGGACAAUGGGCGCAAGCCUGAUCCAGCCAUGCCGCGUGAGUGAUGAAGGCCUUAGGGUUGUAAAGCUCUUUCGCCGACGAAGAUAAUGACGGUAGUCGGAGAAGAAGCCCCGGCUAACUUCGUGCCAGCCGCCGCUGUAAUAC